rnacentral:lncRNA from 1 species
GAGGAGGAAGUUGAGGCCUUGAACCUCCAGAUAACGGAGGUUGAGCUGAGCCUUCAGAGAAUGAAGGCCCAGCUCACGGAGCUCGAGGAGCUAGUUUAAUUUGUUGAAAACUGCUUCCCACAGUAAUCGCAGCUAUACAGGCGAAUUUUAAGAUGAACUCUUUCGUGUCGUUGAAGCGUACAACGUUUUACAAAAGCCUUCUCACACUGUGUGCAUUUAUAGUUUUUCUCGAAGAUGAGACAACUGUGUGUCAAUACAAAUGACAUGCUGCAAUUGUGAGAGGAAGUUUCUUUUUCACUUGCAAAAGAUAGAUCAUAUGUCUGCACUUCUUUAGAUACUGUGUUGGGAGAAAGUGUCUGAGUGCCACAACUCACAAUGGACUGCUUAGGGAAAGCUGUUCUUAGAUCAUUCCUGUACAAGUAGCUCCCUCCCCCUGGAUGCUGUAGUAAGUGGAGAUGAAGAUCUAAAACACGGUCACCUGGAAAAGAAACGAUGAUUAAGAUUGUAUAUAGAAAAAAUACAAAACUUAUUUUGCUGAGAUUAACAUUUUGUGCAUAAAACUGUGAUAAUAAAAUCAUUUCUCAUCUGA